AAAUGCCUCCUUGAGAUCCAGCUGUAAGGCAUUUUCUCAUUUAUUGAACAAUGGGGGCAGACCCAGCCCAUGGUGGUUGGUGCCAUCUCUGGACUGGUGGUCUUG
rnacentral:miRNA from 1 species